UCGGAAUGAUGAACGGAUACCCAUCUGUUGCCUUCCUACCGAGCCCCUCGCGGGCACUGAUGCUUUCUCUAUUGAGAUAUGUCUGACCGA
rnacentral:snoRNA from 1 species